CGGGUGAGUAACGCGUGGUCAACCUACCGUAAAGUGGGGGAUAGCUAGCCGAAAGGUUAGCUAAUACCGCAUACCGACACGAUCCGGCAUCGGAAUGUGUCGAAAGGAGCAAUCCGCUUAACGACGGGACCGCGUCCCAUUAGCUAGAUGGUGGGGUAAUGGCCUACCAUGGCUCCGAUGGGUAGCUGGUUUGAGAGAGCGACCAGCCACACUGGGACUGAGAAACGGCCCAG
rnacentral:rRNA from 1 species